rnacentral:rRNA from 1 species
CCGAGGAGUCCUGGCCGUUCGCGAGUCGUAGGGGCCUUUUACUAACCCCGGAGGCGUAGCGAAAGCGAGAGAGCGUGUUGGAGGGCACCGGAUUUGGAGAGGUGUCUCGGCGAAGUCGUCCGCGGGUUGGAGUUCGCUCCUUCUCGUGGCCUCCGAGCCGUGCCCGAUCCUGCCGGCGCGACGAGUACUCGUAUGUUUACUUUCCGUCGGCCGCCCCGCGUUUCGUUGUCAUCGCCGUAGUCGUCGGAUUUUCCCCUCACGGGGAGAUGAUGUUUGUGGCUGCGGCGGACGGGCGUGCGGGUUGUUUUGUUCGGCGGCGUCACUUUCCUCCUUCCGCCCACCGGUGAGAUCCCGCGGCUUGAACCAGCACACUUUUGUUCGUCGAGUUUAGGCACUGUACGCGGGCGCAUCACCCCCGGGUCGGAUUUCCGAGUACGACUCGGCCGACUCAGGCGUAGCGAGCGACCAGGGACCCGAAAGAUGGCGAUCCACGCCCGGUCGGGAUGAAGCCAGAGGAAACUCUGGUGGAAGUCCGAAGCGCCUCUGACGUGCAAAUCGAUCGUCGGAACCGGGUGUAGGGGCGAAAGACCAAUCGAGCCGUCUA